GACGAACGCCGGCGGCGUGCUUAACACAUGCAAGUCGAACGGUAAGGCCCUUCGGGGUACACGAGUGGCGAACGGGUGAGUAACACGUGGGUGAUCUGCCCUGCACUUCGGGAUAAGCCUGGGAAACUGGGUCUAAUACCGGAUAGGACCACUGCCUGCAUGGGUGGUGGUGGAAAGCUUUUGCGGUGUGGGAUGGGCCCGCGGCCUAUCAGCUUGUUGGUGGGGUGAUGGCCUACCAAGGCGACGACGGGUAGCCGGCCUGAGAGGGUGACUGGCCACACUGGGACUGAGAUACGGCCCAGACUCCUACGGGAGGCAGCAGUGGGGAAUAUUGCACAAUGGGCGCAAGCCUGAUGCAGCGACGCCGCGUGAGGGAUGACGGCCUUCGGGUUGUAAACCUCUUUCAGCACCGACGAAGCGCAAGUGACGGUAGGUGCAGAAGAAGGACCGGCCAACUACGUGCCAGCCGCCGCGGUAA
rnacentral:rRNA from 1 species